rnacentral:rRNA from 1 species
UACGUAGGGGGCAAGCGUUGUCCGGAAUCAUUGGGCGUAAAGCGCGCGUAGGUGGCCCGGUAAGUCCGCUGUAAAAGUCCAGGGCUCAACCCUGGAAAGCCGGUGGAUACUGUCGGGCUCGAGUCCGGAAGAGGCGAGUGGAAUUCCUGGUGUAGCGGUGGAAUGCGCAGAUAUCAGGAGGAACACCGAUGGCGAAGGCAGCUCGCUGGGACGGUACUGACACUGAGGCGCGAAAGCUAGGGGAGCGAACGGG